AGAUACGUCUCCUCCAAAACAAGUCCUGGAUCAAAGGCAAACACUAAUAGAGGCUAACUUGGUUCCUGCCUCGGUGGUCCACUUUGGCGGUGCGAUGAAGCCAGGGGUACCGCUUCUCCGUGAGGACGUUCUGAGCAUGGUCUCGACACCAGGCGGGGCCACAGCGGCAGCUACGCGGCUGAGGGAAGAAAUAGAAACUCCGCUCGUGUCGAGCAGUGCAUCGUCCUAGCGAAGAACGGAUGCUGCUGAAAUUGAAGUGUUCACUUCUUUCAUGUUUUUGUACAACUGCGCGUGUGCAUGAGUUCUUUGUGCUUCAACAGAUAUAAACGCUGAAAUGAUAACGUAAAGCACACUGAACUGUGAUUGAAGGAGUUAAGAAAAAUAAACAAAAUAGUCAACACCUGU